CAAUAGCGUAUAUUAAAGUUGUUGCAGUUAAAAAGCUCGUAGUCGGAUUUCUGGUCGGAAGCUCCUGUCCUCUGAUGAGCGUACAAGUGCGUCCUACCAUCCUUCUGUUAACCUUUAAGGCUUUCGCGGCUUUCUAGGGGCUCAGAUAUUUUACCUUGAGAAAAUUAGAGUGUUUCAGGCAGGCUAGCGCCGGAAUACAUUAGCAUGGAAUAAUGGAAUAGGACUUUUGCCUCUUCUGUUGGUCAUGAGGCUCGAGUAAUGAUUAAUAGGGAUAGUUGGGGGCAUUAGUACUUAACUGUCAGAGGUGAAAUUCUCGGAUUUGUUAAAGACUAACUUAUGCGAAAGCAUUUGCCAAGGAUGUUUNCAUUA
rnacentral:rRNA from 1 species